rnacentral:lncRNA from 1 species
GUUAAAUUUUUACAGAAGAGAGAUUAUAAUGUUUUGCCUAACCACUGACAGAUACCUGAAAAUCUAUACAUUUUUCUUUAAUUUUACUAGACUUAAUUUUUUUCUCUGUAAUUCUUUGUCUCGUUACAGAGGAUCUUGAUGAUUUAAGAAUGGAGGGAGUAACAACCCUAGUACCUUCUGGGAGCAAAUUCAACCAAGGCCGUUCUGCUCAUCCUGCUGAGCCUCAGGCCAAGGUCACACUGAAUAUCUGUUCAAGGUGUGCCAGGCUUCAAGGAGACAACCUGGCAGAAAGGACAGAAGAGACAUUACAAAUACUUCAUUCUCCAGAUGAAAUAAUUCCAGAUUCAUUGGAUUCUUUACCUGGGACUGAAGAAGAACUGAUGGAAGAGGUUGAGGAUUUUGAGAAAGCAUCUAAAUUAACAGCACCUGGAGAAGUCUCCAGUGGAGGAUCAUCACUGAAAAACUAUACUGAAGAAGAUGAAUCCUUAAAGCAACUCCAGGUUGUGCAUCAGCCAUGGCUCUUGCCCAGUGACACAGAAAGCGAAGGAGUGGAAGCAGAACAAGAUAAACUAUGUUAGACCCAGCUGGCUUCAUCCUUCAACCUGAAGUACAUGCUACUCAGAACAGUGAUAUUCAAAGUGUGGUCCCCAAACCAGCAGUAUCAGCAUCAGCAUCUUUUGGAAAUAUGUAAGAACUAGAAUUUCCUCGGGCUCCCCACCCCCAGAUCUACUGAGUCAGAGCUCUGAUACUGGAGCCCAGCAAACUGCGAUUUCAAAAGCCCCCUACGUGAUUUGAGAACCAGUGCUAUAUAGGGUGCAUUCAACUGCUGUCUUCUCAAUAUCCUUGAGUGAUAAUGAGCAAUCAAACACAAAUGUAUUAUUAUUUUAUUCUAAGCCUGCCCAUUGGAAAAGCAUUCUAAAAAUACACCAAGUUCUCCAGUUUUAUUCAGUGACCACUUUUCAUAUACAAUUGCCAACUACAAAUAUUUUUAUAAUUCUUAGUGAUCUAAAUUUGAAUACCAUAAAAUUGCUAAAUGCUCAUUGUUCACUGAUACUUCCAAAGGUGUUUUGGUUAUUGUCCUCUGGGAUAGAUGCUGAUAUAUGUUAAUUAGUUUAAGGUCACUCACUUGAGCACCCUAAGACAAGAUUUGAACUUAAAACUAGCUGAAUAUAAAGUCUAUGCCUCUCCUAGUUUGCAGAUGAAUGAAACAACAGAUAAAUCAUUGUUCCUCUUCACUCUAAUUGAAGCAGUGCUUAUGAAUGAAUGUUUUAAAGAAUUUUUAAGUAUGAAUAUUAUGUGAAAAUCUAUUAUCAAAUGAUUUUGGUGAAUAUCAGGUUAGUUUUUUUAAUAUGCCAUUGAAUAUUUUGAUUUUACAAAAUGGAUAUAUAGUAUGAUGUUAGCCAAAAUUCUUUAGAGUGAACCAUUUGUUUAUAGUUAUACUAACAGCUUGUAAGACUAGGUUUCCUAGAGUUGGUUUUUGAACAUUUGGACUUUGUCUAUUUUUUUCUCUUCAAAUUAUAUGGACUUGCUUAUCUAUUUUUGAUAUCCUUAUUUCAUCUGCUGUUAUUCUCUUCCUUAUUUCCCCACUUUUUUCAACUAGAACAGUUUUUCUCCCAUUAGCCCACUAAGUACUAUUUUUCUACUCCUUCAGAGAUAGCCUCAUAUUCUUUAACAUUUAGAGGAAUUACAUUUAGCAUGUGCCUGGCAUUUGUGAACAUAGUGUCUAUGUGUAUAUACACUACCUCAUGUAAAUUUCAUAGCUUCAUGAUGAUAGUAUAAUUUAUAAGUUCAAUAGCAUCACACUAUAUGACACAUAGAUGUGUCCAGUGCUGAAUAAGCUCUGUCAGUGCCUGGCUUUCCUGCCAAAUUCCUGCUGGACAUCAAACUUGGGACUGCAAAGAUGUCUUCCCAUGGUCCACAUCUGCAUCCACAACACUACCUGGAGAGGCAUUUUGCCUAAAUUUUAGUUUAAAAAACUAACAAAAAGUUAAAUUGAACAUGACUGAAUUACAGAAUGAGAACAUAAACAUUUUUAAACAUCUAACUGCAGCUUCCUAUAAAGUCUAACAGCAGUUUUGUUAUUAAUGUCAAUUUUCACUAGAAAUUUGAUAAACCUGGAGGAAGUUGUGUUUAAUAGAUAUUUUUGUGCUAGCCCAGCAUAUUACCGCUUUUUCUUUCAUUGUGCAGGUUCCGCUGAUCUUCUUUGUGUUCCAUGCUCUUCUUGUCCCACUCUGGUCUACUCUGGUAUGUUUGCUCAGGGCAUUUAGUGUCAAUGUCAGGUAAUUAUGGGUAUUAUCUGCAACUACUCAGUGUUCAGGUUUUUUAAACACUCUUUAUGAU